GACGAACGCUGGCGGCGUGCUUAACACAUGCAAGUCGAACGAGAAAGCCCUUCGGGGUAAGUACAGUGGCGAACGGGUGAGUAACACGUGGGCAACCUGCCCCAGAGAGCGGGACAACCCGGGGAAACCCGGGCUAAUACCGCAUGAUGCGUCUCCACUUAAGUGGAGCCGCCAAAUGGUAGCUUCGGCCUCCGCUCUGGGAUGGGCCCGCGCCGGAUUAGCUAGUUGGUUGGGGUAACGGCCCACCAAGGCGACGAUCCGUAGCUGGUCUGAGAGGACGAUCAGCCACACUGGGACUGAGACACGGCCCAAACUCCUACGGGAGGCAGCAGUGGGGAAUAUUGGACAAUGGGCGCAAGCCUGAUCCAGCCAUGCCGCGUGAGUGAUGAAGGCCUUAGGGUUGUAAAGCUCUUUCGUCCGGGACGAUAAUGACGGUACCGGAAGAAGAAGCCCCGGCUAACUUCGUGCCAGCCGCCGCCGUAA
rnacentral:rRNA from 1 species